rnacentral:rRNA from 1 species
GAUGAACGCUAGCUACAGGCUUAACACAUGCAAGUCGAGGGGAAACGACAUCGAAAGCUUGCUUUUGAUGGGCGUCGACCGGCGCACGGGUGAGUAACGCGUAUCCAACCUGCCCACCACUUGGGGAUAACCUUGCGAAAGUAAGACUAAUACCCAAUGACGUCUCUAGAGGACAUCUGAAAGAGAUUAAAGAUUUAUCGGUGAUGGAUGGGGAUGCGUCUGAUUAGCUGGUUGGCGGGGUAACGGCCCACCAAGGCUACGAUCAGUAGGGGUUCUGAGAGGAAGGUCCCCCACAUUGGAACUGAGACACGGUCCAAACUCCUACGGGAGGCAGCAGUGAGGAAUAUUGGUCAAUGGACGAGAGUCUGAACCAGCCAAGUAGCGUGCAGGAUGACGGCCCUAUGGGUUGUAAACUGCUUUUAUAAGGGAAUAAAGUGAGUCUCGUGAGACUUUUUGCAUGUACCUUAUGAAUAAGGACCGGCUAAUUCCGUGCCAGCCGCCGCUGUAAAAC